AAAAAUCCUGUAACUAUUUCUCCUUUUACCCAAAUGGUUUUGGUUCAUUCUCAUAACCGGACUCUCGUCGUCUCGAUCUGUUUGUCCUGCAGAGAAGUUCUCCCAGCAGACGAGCAGAAAGAGGAGACGGAGGAUUCUGCCGUCAAAGACCCAGGUUUGGAAAGCAGAACACUUCGGGGUUUCUCUGUAAAACACACAAUCUUAAAUAGAUUUGAUUCUAUAUCUAGAACCAGAAAAGGCGUCAGACCCUGAUCCACAGCCAGAACCUGAACCAGAACCAGAACCACAGAUCCCAAACCAGGAAGACGCUCCCGAAGCUCCGCCCGUGACCCAGCAGCCGCAGAGAGCCGCAGACGCUGCGGUCGCCAACACAGACAAAGCUGAUGAAAAGGAAGCUGAGGCUGCUGGUGACGACUGUGGCGUUCCCGUCAGCUGCGAUGCAGUAAAGAGCUGCCUGAUGCGCUUUCCUCUCACCUCUGAAUGCUUCGGCAACAUCAACGCAUUCUUCAAAGAGAACGGCAUCUCCCCCCCCAAAAUACCCCCCAUGCCCAAACUGCCCACCCAGCUGUCCGAGGUAACCGCGUUCCUGCCCUCGCUGCCCCCCGAGCUCCGCCAAGAGUUGUCCCAGAUCAGACUGACGCAGGUCCCCCGGAGCGUCGCCCAGACUCUGACCGAGCUGCUGCCCAAAGGUCCGGACGGAUCCGGGGGGCCCGGCCUGUCCGACCUGUCCCAGAGGCUGUCGGAUCUCCCGGAGAAGCUCUCCCGGUUCCCCGGCCGGACGCAGCAGUACUUUGUGAACGUCCGGAACCGCCUCAACAGCCUUCUGCCGCAAGAUGCCUAAGAAACCCAGAGACCAGAACCAGCAGGACUUAGAACUGGACCGGCUGGUGCGGUCCUCCCCCCUGCCCCCCCCUCAUCAUCCUCAGCUGCGCUCCCGCUCCCCGUCUCCAUCCUCGCCUCACGGUAGCACCCUGGAGUUGCCUAACGUGCCUUCCUAUCCACGCCUCCCGCCCAUCGCCAGCUCGCCGUCGAAGCGCCCGAGCUCCCCGCCGCGGCAGCUGUCCGGCCUCUCAAACCCCGCCUUCUUCAUCGAGGAUGACUCCCAUUGUAACACUGCAGAGAGUGUCCGCCCCGCCGUGAACGUCGAGGACGUUGACCACGAGAAAGCAGGAGGAGGCGAGGAGAGGAUCGACGCCUCCCAGACUCCCGCCCUGCAGGACCCCAAACUCACCACCCUCACCGUCCCCGUGAACCCCUCCGGGGGUCGGCAGAGGUGAGCAGCGGUGGCGUCGGGGAACCAGCCGCUUCCGGGGGAUCUGUGGGGAGGAGAGGGGUCGUUUGAAUCCACAAACACCACCAUGCUGGAGUUUGGGAGGAUUUCUGUCCCAGGCAGGACCGGGUGGUCGCAAACGUGGGAGAAAAAUGAAAAAGUCAAAUCGAAGUAAACGUGAAGAGAUCCUUUUGAAUGAAAGUGUUGAGAUAAAUGUUGUUUGGUGGUUCUUCUUCUUCUCAGUCAAAGGACAUCUGACCUCCGUCUUCAUCUGGUUCCACAAGCGUUCUGAUGUGUUUCUCUCUUCUCAUGCUUUACAGUAAAGGAGACAAAGAGUAAGGAGACUGCAUGAGUGCUGUCAGUUCUGUCUUCUGUCAUUCUAGAGAUGCACGUCUGCAUAGCAUGCAUGCAUUCAUGGCAAUAAACUUCACAAACACAGGAAACAUCUUCACUUUUUGCAGCCGCGUCGAAAAAUCAAAUAAAUGAUUCUCAUAAACUACAAAAAUACAAGAGAUUCUAUUAUAAAAAGAUAAAACCGUCACCUGAAAACCUCUUUUCUGUUGCUGUCAUGCUGCUCCAUCUCUUUCUCAUCUUUUAGUUUUGUCUGUUUCGUUCAGUCCUGCACAAACUCUUUAAGUUCAACUUGAAAUAUAGAUUCUUGUUUGUUUGUUUGUUUGUUUGUUUUGGAUGCUAUAUUCUGUUUAAAGAGCUGCCAAAAAAAUGUGCAAAAACUCCCCAAAUCAUCCGAUCCUGUCAAUGCAGAACAUGCAGUGUUGCAUGAAGUGAUGUGAAGUUUUUUUUAUUUUUGUGCUUGUUUUGUUUCUCUCUGUUUUAAUGUUGUUCUCUUUUAUUUGGCUUUGUGCUUUUGGCUGCUCUGUGAUUGUUUACACGUCAUAUUUUAGCAAAAGUCAAUAAAAAAAACUGCAUCCCAGCCUUUGUGGUUUGUGUGUCUGCUGCCUGGUUGCUUCUUUUUGUUGUCUGAAUUGACGUGGUGUUUUUCACACGAACCCUCAUCCGGCCGCUCACGACGGGGUGGGAGGAGUCGCAGGAGUAUCUGGACAAAGAUGUAAGAACCCCCCCAUCACGGGUCUGCACUCACUUCUCCUAAAAACACCUGGUGGGGUUGGGCUCGGAGGCCGUGAUGCUGUGGUGUCUGCUCCAACAGCAAGCUGCUCCAUUCUCAAAGUGAGGAUGAAGACGCAGAGGUGAGCGUCCCCGUGAGGGCGUGGCCCAGCCAGUCCAGCCUGCACAGCACCGACGACGUGUGAGCAUGGCGUGCGCGGUUAGGGACCGGGGAAGUCCGGCCGGGCUCGCCUCGCUGACGUGGAACUCUGUCUCCAAGCCUGAAGGAGCGUCCGUCCUCCUCCGCCAGCCAGACCAGCGCCAUGGUGAACGAGCGUCUGCAGGAGCUGGUGAGGAUGUUCAAAGAGAGGACGGAGAAGGCCAAGGAGAAGCUCAUCGACGAAUUUCCGCUGCACGUGUUUACAUCCGAAGCCUUCUAAUGACUGAAAAAGGCCAAAGAGAAGCUCUCGACCCCUGAUGAUUUCUUUCGAGGACAGAGAAGAGAGGA
ensembl:lncRNA